UACGUAGGGGGCAAGCGUUGUCCGGAUUUAUUGGGCGUAAAGAGCGUGUAGGCGGCCAGGCAGGUCCGCUGUGAAAACUCGAGGCUCAACCUCGAGAGGUCGGUGGAAACCGUCUGGCUAGAGUCCGGAAGAGGAGAGUGGAAUUCCCGGUGUAGCGGUGAAAUGCGCAGAUAUCGGGAAGAACACCCGUGGCGAAGGCGGCUCUCUGGGACGGUACUGACGCUGAGACGCGAAAGCGUGGGGAGCGAACGAGGA
rnacentral:rRNA from 1 species